GGCCGCGUGGCGAAACCUAUAACGCGUCUGCCUACGGAGCAAACGAUUGCAGGUUCGAGUCCUGCCGUGGUCG
rnacentral:tRNA from 1 species